CAGCUGCAGAAACAGCAGCAGCAGCAGAAACAGCAGCAGCAGCAGAAACAGCAGCAGCAGCAGAAACAGCAGCACCAGCAGAAACAGCAGCAGCACCUGAGGAAACAGCAGCAGCACCAGCAGCAGACAGCACUGCUGAGACAGCAGCGAGCUCCUCAGAGGCUGCCGGUGCAGCUCCAGAGCAAGAUAAAGGAGAGGCCACAGCAACUGAUUCAGAGCCCAAAACAGAGGAAGCACCAGCUCCCAGCGAGUGAAGUGCAACACCAGUGACUGCACGGAUGAGUUUUGCGUCUCACCUUGUCUGUAUGCGUGAGUGAAAGUAUGUCUGGGUGUGAAAGACAUCGCCUUGUUGCCAAGAUGCAGACCCCGUGACAACCGCUUUCAGUCAGGGUCCUCGGUCACCACUGUGCCUUUUAUUCCUCUUUCUCGAUGGUGAAUGGCUGCAAUUUCUACUGUACAUAGACAGAGUUCUACAGCACUUAGUGGGAGUGUUUAUUUUCAGAGGAUUUAUCUGUUGAAAUUUCUAUUUAUUAACUGUAUAGGAAUUUAUAUUCGCUAUACUAUACUAUGUCUUUAACCUGAGAGUCCAUAAUUCUUUAAAAACCAAAGCCAAAGUAUAUUUAAGAUAUAAAAUUAUAUUCUUUUUGGGUAGCUGGCUUUGAUUUUCUGACCAUAUUUGUAAUGAAGCUGCUGC
ensembl:lncRNA